UACGUAGGGUGCGAGCGUUGUCCGGAAUUAUUGGGCGUAAAGAGCUCGUAGGCGGUCUGUCGCGUCGAAUGUGAAAACCCGGAGCUUAACUCCGGGCCUGCAGUCGAUACGGGCGGACUGGAGUUCGGCAGGGGAGACUGGAAUUCCUGGUGUAGCGGUGGAAUGCGCAGAUAUCAGGAGGAACACCGGUGGCGAAGGCGGGUCUCUGGGCCGAUACUGACGCUGAGGAGCGAAAGCGUGGGGAGCGAACAGG
rnacentral:rRNA from 1 species